rnacentral:ncRNA from 1 species
GGCGUCCCACACGGGCGCCCGAGGCAUCGGGCUGAGAUCGCGCUGCCGCGCCGCCGGUCGUUUCCUUCUCUUUUCUUCAUGUUUUCGGCCGGGCGGGCGCGGGGAGCCGCGCGAGCACCGUUCGAACCUGUCCGGUUAGUACCGGCGUAGGAAGAAGAGGAGCGCUUCAC